UGGGGAAUAUUGGACAAUGGGCGAAAGCCUGAUCCAGCCAUGCUGCGUGUGUGAAGAAGGUCUUCGGAUUGUAAAGCACUUUAAGUUGGGAGGAAGGGCAGUAAGCGAAUACCUUGCUGUUUUGACGUUACCGACAGAAUAAGCACCGGCUAACUCUGUGCCAGCAGCCGCGGUAAUACAGAGGGUGCAAGCGUUAAUCGGAAUUACUGGGCGUAAAGCGCGCGUAGGUGGUUCGUUAAGUUGAAUGUGAAAGCCCCGGGCUCAACCUGGGAACUGCAUCCAAAACUGGCGAGCUAGAGUAGGGCAGAGGGUGGUGGAAUUUCCUGUGUAGCGGUGAAAUGCGUAGAUAUAGGAAGGAACACCAGUGGCGAAGGCGACCACCUGGGCUCAUACUGACACUGAGGUGCGAAAGCGUGGGGAGCAAACAGG
rnacentral:rRNA from 1 species